UCUGAAUGCCAGAUUGGACCAUUUGCUGUACAUCUAUUUUCCCACCAACUUAUAUCCAACAGGAUCCGAAGCACAGGGAAUGGAGGGUAGGUAGUGGAAUCAGAGGGCACCACAAAUCUUGAAGAACUUCCCGUGUCAGUGGAGUGGAAGGGCAAUCUGGACAUCGAGGGAGUGAAGUCCUUUGUCUUCAGCAGAAGUAAAGGGUUUUGGGAAAGAUGCAGGUAAAUGAAUAUGUUAGUUAAUACGGAAUUCAGAAACAACCUGGAGGAGAAACUUAGGGUAUAGGGAAAGGGAAACCUUGUCUUUAUGAAUACUUGUAUAAGACGGUCUGCCA